rnacentral:rRNA from 1 species
AAGCCAUGCAUGUCUAAGUUCAUAUUGCCUAUAAUGGUGAAACCGCGAACGGCUCAUUACAACAGCUAUAAUUUACUUGAUUUUGAUUCCAUACGUGGAUAACUGUGGCAAUUCUAGAGCUAAUACAUGCACCAAAGCUCCGACUACAAAUUUWGACGAGCGCAUCUAUUAGAAUCAAAACCAAUCGAGAUCGUGUGUUGUGUCGUCGCAAUCACGCGUACGCACGCGCACGUAUAUCUCGUCGAUUUGGUGACUCUGAAUAGCUUAGCUGAUCGCAUGGUCUCGUACCGGCGACGUAUCUAUCAAGUAUCUGCCUUAUCAACUUUCGAUGGUAGUUUAUGUGACUACCAUGGUUGUAACGGGUAACGGAGAAUAAGGGUUCGACUCCGGAGAGGGAGCCUGAGAAACGGCUACCACUUCCAAGGAAGGYAGCAGGCGCGCAAAUUACCCACUCUCAGCACAGAGGAGGUAGUGACGAAAAAUAACGAGACCGUACUCGAUGAGGCCGGUUAUCGGAAUGGGCACAAUUUAAACCCGUUAACGAGGAUCUAUGAGAGGGCAAGUCUGGUGCCAGCAGCCGCGGUAAUUCCAGCUCUCAAAGUGUAUAUCGGCAUUGCUGCGGUUAAAAAGCUCGUAGUUGGAUUUCAGCCUUACGACGUGGUCCAUUCAUUGAAUGCGAACUACGCCUCGUAGGCUAUUUGAAUGUUGGUUUUUCCUUAUUUGGCUCUCAACGGCUGAGUAAGGUGGCUGACGAGUUUACCUUGAAAAAAUUAGAGUGCUCAACGCGGGCUAUUACGCCUGAAUACUCGUGCAUGGAAUAAUGGAAUACGACUUCUGGUCUAUUUUGUUGGUUUUCUGAUCGGAGAUAAUGGUUAAGAGGGACAGACGGGGGCAUUCGUAUCGCUGCGUGAGAGGUGAAAUUCUUGGACCGUAGCGAGACGUCCCACUGCGAAAGCAUUUGCCAAGAAUGUCUUCAUUAAUCAAGAACGAAAGUCAGAGGUUCGAAGGCGAUCAGAUACCGCCCUAGUUCUGACCGUAAACGAUACCAACUAGCGUUCCGUCAGCAGUAAUUACGCCUUGACGGGCAGCUUUCCGGAAACGAAAGUUUUUCGGUUCCGGGGGAAGUAUGGUUGCAAAGCUGAAACUUAAAGAAAUUGACGGAAGGGCACCACCAGGAGUGGAGCCUGCGGCUUAAUUUGACUCAACACGGGAAAACUCACCUGGCCCGGACACCGUGAGGAUUGACAGAUUGAGAGCUCUUUCUUGAUUCGGUGGUUGGUGGUGCAUGGCCGUUCUUAGUUGGUGGAGUGAUUUGUCUGGUUUAUUCCGAUAACGAACGAGACUCUAGCCUACUAAAUAGUCGGCGAAUAAACAACAAGAUUUUGUGGCCGUUCGUACGACUUCUUAGAGGGACAAGCGGUGUUCAGCCGCAUGRAGUUGAGCAAUAACAGGUCUGUGRUGCCCUUAGACGUCCAGGGCUGCACGCGCGCUACACUGGAGGAAUCAACAUGCUAUGUCCGUUGUCGAAAGGCAACGGUAACCCAUYGAAAAUCCUCCGUGCUCGGAAUCGGGAAUUGCAAUUAUUUCCCUUGAACGAGGAAUUCCUAGUAAGUGUGAGUCAUCAGCUCACGCUGAUUACGUCCCUGCCCUUUGUACACACCGCCCGUCGCUGCCCGGGACUGAGCCGUUUCGAGAAAAGCGGGGACCGCUGUUAUCGGCUUUUCACUCCUUGUGAGCGAUGAAGUUGAUAGACGGUAGAAACCGCCUUAAUCGCGGUGGCUUGAACCGGGCAA